UCCAAACUUGUUGAAGUGUUACUUCUUUACCGAAAGUUCCACUGCAUGCCUUCUCCAUUGUCUCUAGAACCCAGCAGUAGAACAAUAACCUGAAAUUCGAUAUGCAGAACAACUCUAUAAUAGUACUAGUAUUACUUCCAUCGAGCAGUUGUUCCUUGGGAUGCGUGCAGGCCAUCAACGUUUGAGUCUGAAGCAAUAUCUCCCGCGCUAUGCACCCUUGGUCUUGGAAACAGGGUGUGUGGAGGAGCCGCGUGCGCACGCUAAUCUGUCUCGCUGUGAAAGUUUAAUGGCGGCAGAGGUGAAACGCUCGCUAUCCAGCUAUUCAAGGAAAUCCGGCUGGUCAUCGUCUGUCUCUUGGAGCUGUGAAUGCUAUUCAAGGAAAUCAGGACGGUCGCAGUCAGCCUUGGAGCUGCGAAUGGCCAGAAAGGUACGUAACUGUCCAUUUUCGGCAACUUAUGCCCAGCUGUCUGUUGAAUGUGCCUCUGCCUGGUAUACCUGGACCCAACUGUAAUGUGAGCACUGUGGUUGAUAUGAUCCUUAGCUUGCUGGUAGGACACUGCACCAGAAAGUAGUGCCCUAGAAAAUUUCACCCUGCUGUAAUUGAUUUGAUUACAAAGUCCGAAAUCACGGAUAAGCUCCAAACUUUCAAAUAGGUUAUUUCAGCUUACCCCUAGCCCUGAGCGAGUUGUUUAUAGCAAUGUGGGUCCUUUGUUUUGUGCACUACAUUUUCCCCGCAAUACAAGGAAACUGGAUGGUCAAGAACUGUCUUGGAGCUGUGAAUGGCCAGAAAGGUGAGACAUUGUCACAUGUUGACGACUUGUGCCCCGCUGUUAUUGACAAUGUAUCUCUGUAUAACUCGGUGCAGCUGCAAUGUGAGUGCUGGUAGACUGCUAGCAUCCGCAUGUUGUGGCCUAGAUAAUCUCAUCCUGUUGUAACAAAAAAACUUGGAGAUAACCUUUGUCCAGUUUGUGGAGGAAAUCGGGAUGGUCACUUUCUGUGUUGGAGGUGGUUGUGGCCAGAAAGGUGCAAAACUGUCAAUUUGUGACGACUUGUGCCCAGUAGUAAGGUUCAAUGUAGCACUGUAUAACUGGGGUCAGCUGCAAUUGGAGUGUUUGGAUUGAAUGGUAUUUUAGUUUUCCAGUAGGUUCGCAUGUAGUGGCCAGAAACUUUGGUUCCACUGCAAUUGGUUUGGGAGUAAAGUCGGUAAUCACCGAUGAAAAGCCCUUGACUUGAAGAUGGGGUAUUUUUCAGCAUUGAGCAUCACUUGGCAAGUUGGUUAUAGCAUCGUAUCCAUUAUCUUUUGUCCAAUACAUUCUUCCCAGCUGUUUUUGCACAUCAGGGGUCACUAUCUCUCUCGGAGUUGUGAAUGCCCAGAAUUAUGAGAAAACGUCGAUUUUUGCACUUGAGCCCAACUGCAUUGUGUCUCUGUAACCUGAAAUUCUGUAUCUUGUAUCAUACUUGCAUUUCCUUUUCAUGUCCCUCGA